AAAUCCAAAGUGAAACAGUGGUUGUCUUCCUUGAAUUUCAACUGCAACUCCUGGUCAAAUGGCGAAGUUUAACUUUGGUUUAUUUCUACAGAAAUCGUACAGUUUGUUUUCUGCAAAAAGAUUACUGGCAAGGACGACAAACAAUAUUUGGAAAACAAUGGACAGAAGAAGUUAUGUUUGUUCAAGUCCAAAUUCCUGACAGAAAAGCAACAUCUUUCCACAUUCAAGGAAAACAAUAUGAUUGUUGCUAUUGGUAUUCUCUAGCCUGCAAUGAGUUAGUUUGCCUUAAACUCCCAAAAUCUGGACUAGAAACAGGAUUUUUUUGUUGCAUCGACAGCCAGGGCUUUUGCCAGAUGAAGAAAUCCAUACAAAUGCCUCUAGUGGGAGAAAAUUUGUUGAUGCCAGGGGAGCCCUCUAGUUUUUCCGUAAUACCUUACAAAAAAACCAAUGCUGAAAAGUUAAACGAGAAAUUUCUUCCCAAAAGUUUUGAGGGAGCAUUAACAUAUUUAUCAGCUCCUGUCUGCAAAAAGAGAAGCUUGCAAUUCGUGAUACAUCUGAAAA